rnacentral:rRNA from 1 species
GAUGAACGCUGGCGGCGUGCCUAAUACAUGCAAGUCGAGCGAAUGGAUUAAGAGCUUGCUCUUAUGAAGUUAGCGGCGGACGGGUGAGUAACACGUGGGUAACCUGCCCAUAAGACUGGGAUAACUCCGGGAAACCGGGGCUAAUACCGGAUAACAUUUUGAACCGCGUGGUUCGAAAUUGAAAGGCGGCUUCGGCUGUCACUUAUGGAUGGACCCGCGUCGCAUUAGCUAGUUGGUGAGGUAACGGCUCACCAAGGCAACGAUGCGUAGCCGACCGGAGAGGGUGAGCGGCCACACUGGGACUGAGACACGGCCCAGACUCCUACGGGAGGCAGCAGUAGGGAAUCUUCCGCAAUGGACGAAAGUCUGACGGAGCAACGCCGCGUGAGUGAUGAAGGCUUUCGGGUCGUAAAACUCUGUUGUUAGGGAAGAACAAGUGCUAGUUGAAUAAGCUGGCACCUUGACGGUACCUAACCAGAAAGCCACGGCUAACUACGUGCCAGCCGCCGCGGUAA